rnacentral:lncRNA from 13 species
GUUUAUUUUUCUGUUCAUUUAUGGAAGAAAUCUUGGUUGACUACAAAUUUUAGCAAUUAUGAUUAAACCUGCUGCAAUCAUCUAUGUGAAGGUUUUUGUGUGGACAUAAGUUCUCAAUUAUUUUAGCAUCAUCAAAUCUAUGUGAGCUGUCUCCACAUCUUCAAAGAAAGAAGUACGAAUCUAGAAAAAAACUGCAAAGAAAAGAGAACAAGAAGCAAAGAUUCAUCAAAACAAUUCCCAGAAAAUCGACCCUAUGUAGUAAAAUAAUGAAAAUUUUCAUUGGCAUGUCAGAGCACUUACUCCAGAAUUUUAAAAGUGCACUCACUCCAGAUUUAAAAGUGCACAGAGUACAUGAGAAUGCAGUCUUGGAAUUAUAAUGCCCUAAGGAUAGAAGAGAAAUAAAGCCAUCUGAUGUGACCAUUCCCCCUUUGCCUUGUCCCAUGACUGGAAGUUUUCUGAGGCCUCCCCAGAAGCAGAUGCUGCCAUGCUUCCUGAACAGCCUGCAGAACUACAGGCCAAUUAAAACUUGGGUUUUUUUUUUUUAAAUAAAUUACCUAGUCUCAGUUAUUUCUUUAUAGUA